CAGCUGGACAGCCUUCAAACUUCUAAACUCACCAGGGCAGGGCAGAACGGGACUGGAGGUGUUCCCUGGGAGGCGUACAGAACCGUAGCACGGAGUGAGGAACUGGAAGCCUGAGCUCCAGCUGUGCUUUUUUGUCCAGAAAGGACCCUUUCUGCCACCACCACCCCUCCCCCGUCUGUCUCCUCUGCUGCGUCUCUCUGCUUUGGUGUCCUGUUCCAUUUCACGCAGGCUCCUUUUCCCCAUUCCACCUUCUUCCUCUUCCCUCUCCUUUCAACUACUCUUUUGCACUUUUAAAAAAACCAAACUGCAAUCUGAUUUUCGUCUUAAGAUGUCAUUCUUCCACUGUGGAAAAAAAAAAAAAAAAGCCUCAAACAGCCGAGUCUCUCCCUUAGCCCCGUAUUGAUCUUUCUGUGUGUCACUGUGUUCCUGUCUCACUGUCUCCCUCUAGAGCUCUCUACCUGUCUCAUGUCGACCUCCGCAUGUGUCUGUCUACACAGGAAAAACCACAUGACUGAAGCUUGGGCAUUUUAUAUCCUAUCAGUGGAAUACCAGCUCCUUGAAAGCAACAAACCCAGCGCUUUAUACCUAGAUGGCUAUUCCAUGGCGCUUGACCUAGACUGAGGCUUCCCCUGUCCCACCAGUGUUCUGCCUCCCACAGAUUAGUUGCAAGCCCAAAUCAAGUGGCAUCAAUCUCACCUUCAUUUCCUUGCUCCUGAAUUAGAGGGCCAGGACAGGAUGGCUGGCUGGUUCCGACAGAUCCUGCGUAAGCCCAAGAAACGCCAUGUGCGGCCAGAUACCAACACCAAGGAUGUGCUAGAGCUACCCUCCCAAAGCAGUUCUCUACCUGAGACUGAGGAAUCUACCAAGGUUCCCACCCCAAACCCAGCAGACACAGAGAGCACAAGCAGCAGCUCUCGCUGGUGCAAAACUUAUGACGUAUGUGUGUGCCAUAGUGAGCAAGACCUGAUAGCUGUCCAGGAAUUGGUUUCCUAUCUGGAGGGUGAGCCCGACAGACUUCGAUGCUUCCUGCAGCUUCGGGACGCAGCCCCAGGUGGUGCCAUCGUGUCCGAACUGUGCCAGGCAAUGGGAAACAGCCAUUGCUGUGUACUAUUUAUCACCCCCCAUUUCCUUCAGGACCCUUGGUGCAAGUACCAAAUGUUACAGGCACUAAGUGAGGCCCCUGCAUCUGAGGGCCACACCAUACCUCUGCUGUUUGGCCUGGCCCGAAGAGAUUACCCCCCUGAGCUCCGAUUCAUGUUCUACGUGGAUGGCAAUGGCUUUGACAAUGGAUUUGGAAAGGUCAAGACCACAGUCUGGCGUUGUAAGCAGUGUGAUGGCGGGGGAGGUGGGCCUUUGAUCCACCUGAAAAGUUACUUUGGUUUCUUUUAGAUAGGGAUGGAGACCUCUUUGGGAAGGGGCCAGGGAGGGACCCCAAGGGUGAAGGACACUGGUCUUCAAGGGAGAAAAGAUCUGCAAAAAUUUAGCUGAGCUGUAUACCCCAUCUUAUCACCAUGGAGCCCAGGAUGUUGGAGCAAGACUGGACUUGGAGCUAGAGGGGACACUGAGGGUCUCCAGAAAGCUCUGGUGGAAAACAGACAGGUGCUAUAAGGAUUCAUGGCCUCAACAACGUUUCUGUUCUGCCUCUGAGAUAGCCUCUGAGAUAGGCUUCUCCAGUACUUGGGACUUCCCUUCCCAAGAACUCAACUCUGGCCAUGGGAAAAUUCAGGUUGCUGCUAAUGUCACUCCCUUAGAGCAUUUCUUAGGCAGGAUGAAUGUGUUACUUUGGUUUCUGUCCAAAAAGAAGUCUUGCCUCCAUAAUUUUGCAUGAAGCUCAUCACAUGACUAUGUGUUCCUCCCCCUCAAGCAUGGGCAUAUUUGUGUAACUCUGUGUCCCUGCCCAGGGAAAGAACUACUGGUCUGCUCCAUCUGGCAAGGCUACAGAACAUGCUAAAAGCCUCUAUGUAGACUGAGGAAUUCUGGCUCAAGUGGAGGAAAUACAACUGGUGCCAACUCUU